AAGAUUAACAUAAUUAGGCUUCUAACCUAAAAAUUAAUGAUUUAUUCAUUUAAUCUUU
rnacentral:tRNA from 1 species